GCCGCCAACAAGCUUUAAGUCCCAGAAGGGAGCUGCUGUCUGAGCGAGAAGCGGCAUCACUGGCCGGCUACGAGGGAGAGAGAGAGGACCCGGGAUCGCGCUGGGGCUCCUGACCCGCCCUCCCAGGGACCCGCCUGCCCCACGCCGCCCGGCCCCGCCGGACUCUCUGCAAUAGCCUUACCUGCGGGGGCCUCCAGAAUCUCCAGGACUUUCAGAGGAUGCUCAGGCCGCCCACGGGGACCUCGGGGCAGCAGUGAGGGGGGCAUCCAGCUCCCAUCCAACUCUGGUCCUGCGCCAGGGACUCCCCCUGGAGAUGAGCAUGGUGGUUUUCUCUUGGAGUCCCCUGGCUUGGUACGUCUGAGAAGAUGCCUACCGUGAGACUGUUCACUUGCUUCCUGCAGCUCCUGACGGGGCUGGUGUUGCCUGCCGUGCCCACGACGCAGUGGGCCUUGUCUCCUGGGAACAUUUCAUCAGAGGUGGAAGUGGUGCCCUUCCAGCAAGUGUGGAGCCGCAGCUACUGCCGGCCAGUGGAGAGGCUGGUGGACAUUGUGUCUGAGUACCCCAGCGAGAUGGAGCAUCUAUUCAGCCCAUCCUGUGUCUCCCUAAUGCGCUGCACUGGCUGCUGCAGCGAUGAGAGCAUGCACUGCGUGCCCCUGGAGACAGCCAACGUCACCAUGCAGCUCAUGAAGUACCGCUCUCUGGACCAGCCCUUCUUUGUGGAGAUGAGCUUCUCUCAGCACGUCCGCUGCGAGUGCAAACCUCUAUGGGAGAAGAUGAAGCAAACAAGGAGGAGAUCCAGGGUCAGGGGCCCGAGGAAGAGAGAGGAGCAGAAACACAAAGACUGUCACCUGGGUUCCAGUAUCCUUGUUUGAAGAUUGCUGCCCCAAAGUAACCAAAGGCAUUGGUGCAUGGAGCCAGACUGUGUUUAAAGCCGGCUUUGUCACUAACUUGCUGUGUGACCUUGGGCAAGUUUCUUAACCUCUCUGAGCCUCCAUUUCCUCAUCUGCCAAAGGAUGAUAGUAACUGCACCCUUCCUCGUGGAAUAUCGUUAAGGAUAAAUGAGAGAGUGCUUGGCGCAGGCCUGAGCACCUGGGUGCGGUGAUACUGUUUCCCAGAGGUAACCAGUCCCUCAGAGGAGAGAGACCCCCCACACCCAGCUCGUGUAUUUAUUACCGUCACGUUCUCAGUUACCUCCCUGCUGGCACCUGCCCUCUAUUUAUUAGCCAAUUGUAUCCCUGCUGAAUGACUCACUCCCUCCACGGGACAGGACCCUCAGGAAUUCAGUGCCUUAAACAGAACGUGAGAGAAAGAAGACAGACCCAUGUGGCUUCAGCUUGAGAAGGAGCAAGACUUACGGCUUUGUGAUGGGCAGGCCUCACCCCAGAGGCCCCGGGGGUCUCCAGGAGGCUGGAGAAGGAAGGAGUGGAGACCCACCACCUGCCCUCCCGGAACCUUGGGCUCCGCGCAGACCAGCAAGCCUUGCUGGGGCAGCUCCUGGUGGAAGUGGGGGGUGUGGAGGCCCCUGCUCUGGCCACCCUGGCCCUGCUGAGAGGGUGGGCGGGCAGCCACUCUGCACCCCGGAGGUUGGACGUUCAGCUCUGGAGAACAGUGCUUGCCUGGGGGGCCUCUGCCACUCCUCGUCCCCUCAGUCUCGCCUCACCUCUUAACUGCUGCUUGUGCUGGGACAUUGUUUUUUGUGGCCAAGGCAUCAUCAUCCUGCCCCUCUCAAGGACAAAGGCAAAAAGUGGGCCCCAAGCUGGACAUGGAGUGAGCUGCGCUCGCGUGGCUGUCUGACCGCCAAGCCAGAUUCUCUUGAAUAAAGUAUUCUAGUCUGCAA